CAGAGAGACAGACAGGUUAGAGGAGCUUAGAGAGACAGACAGGUGAUCUGACCUCCCAGGUGGAGCUCCUAGAGAGACAGACAGGUGAUCUGACCUCCCAGGUGGAGCUCCUAGAGAGACAGACAGGUUAGAGGAGCUCCUACAGAGAGACAGACAGGUGAUCUGACCUCCCAGGUGGAGCUCCUAGAGAGAGAGUGAUCUGACCUCCCAGGUGGAGCUCCUAGAGAGAGAGUGAACUGACCUCCCAGGUGGAGCUCCAGGUCCGGUCCGUCUCCCCAAUAAUCUGUCAGAAACACAAACAU